GUAGCUUGCUACUGAUCUUAGCGGCGGACGGGUGAGUAAUGCUUAGGAAUCUGCCUAUUAGUGGGGGACAACAUUUCGAAAGGAAUGCUAAUACCGCAUACGUCCUACGGGAGAAAGCAAGGGGAUCUUCGGACCUUGCGCUAAUAGAUGAGCCUAAGUCGGAUUAGCUAGUUGGUGGGGUAAAGGCCUACCAAGGCGACGAUCUGUAGCGGGUCUGAGAGGAUGAUCCGCCACACUGGGACUGAGACACGGCCCAGACUCCUACGGGAGGCAGCAGUGGGGAAUAUUGGACAAUGGGCGCAAGCCUGAUCCAGCCAUGCCGCGUGUGUGAAGAAGGCCUUAUGGUUGUAAAGCACUUUAAGCGAGGAGGAGGCUACUUUAGUUAAUACCUAGAGAUAGUGGACGUUACUCGCAGAAUAAGCACCGGCUAACUCUGUGCCAGCAGCCGCGGUAAUACAGAGGGUGCAAGCGUUAAUCGGAUUUACUGGGCGUAAAGCGCGCGUAGGCGGCUAAUUAAGUCAAAUGUGAAAUCCCCGAGCUUAACUUGGGAAUUGCAUUCGAUACUGGUUAGCUAGAGUGUGGGAGAGGAUGGUAGAAUUCCAGGUGUAGCGGUGAAAUGCGUAGAGAUCUGGAGGAAUACCGAUGGCGAAGGCAGCCAUCUGGCCUAACACUGACGCUGAGGUGCGAAAGCAUGGGGAGCAAACAGGAUUAGAUACCCUGGUAGUCCAUGCCGUAAACGAUGUCUA
rnacentral:rRNA from 1 species